rnacentral:rRNA from 1 species
AACGAACGCUGGCGGCAUGCCUAACACAUGCAAGUCGAACGAUCCCUUCGGGGAUAGUGGCGCACGGGUGCGUAACGCGUGGGAACCUGCCCUUAGGUUCGGAGUAACUCAGAGAAAUUUGAGCUAAUACCGGAUAAUGUCUUCGGACCAAAGAUUUAUCGCCUUUGGAUGGGCCCGCGUUGGAUUAGCUAGUUGGUGGGGUAAAGGCCUACCAAGGCGACGAUCCAUAGCUGGUCUGAGAGGAUGAUCAGCCACACUGGGACUGAGACACGGCCCAGACUCCUACGGGAGGCAGCAGUGGGGAAUAUUGGACAAUGGGCGAAAGCCUGAUCCAGCAAUGCCGCGUGAGUGAUGAAGGCCUUAGGGUUGUAAAGCUCUUUUACCCGGGAUGAUAAUGACAGUACCGGGAGAAUAAGCCCCGGCUAACUCCGUG